CAGUGCAGUCACCCAUAAAGUAGAAAGCACUACUAACAGCACUGGAGGGUGUAGUGUUUCCUACUUUAUGGAUGAGUGUACUGU
ncrna:Homo sapiens (human) microRNA hsa-mir-142 precursor